rnacentral:sRNA from 1 species
GAUCUAGGGUUAGGGUUAGAAGCGUUUAAAGCGUGUCCACCACCCUCCUCUCAUUUUCGAUAUUUCGGGCCAGUGUAAAGAAAAUUAAAGUAGGUUUUUAAGAUAACAAAAUUAUUUCUCUCUAUUACCAUUUGAUUAUUUUGUUUUACUUUUUACCGAUGACUGAAUUGAUACUGGUUUCCACAAGAAGUUUUUAUUAACAUACUUGUAUUAAGAUUAAGAAGUACAAUUAAAAUUUAGUAUAUAUCCAAAAAAGUUCGAAGAUUUUUUUUAUCUCGUGUGCAGAUUAAUUGAAAGUUAAGAGAUGACAUUUUUAAUCUCUAUAAAAAUGUUUAUAUUGUAUAUAUGUUCAAAACUUAUCCAAUAUACCUAAUGAAUAGACUGAGAGAUAUUGAUUAGGACUAAAUACUUUAUUAUGGUUUGGCGAUACUGGCCGCAGUGACUUAAGGCUACCAAUGGGCUGCCUCAUAACAAAUAAAAAAACUACAAU